UUGCAUGAUGAACCCCAGAUAGGGACAGCUUAUACCGAACGGUAUUUGAUGAGAACCCUGGGCGAAAUAUUUUAGUAGAUGCUUCGUAGUCUGAUA
rnacentral:snoRNA from 1 species